rnacentral:rRNA from 1 species
UACGAAGGGGGCUAGCGUUGUUCGGAUUUACUGGGCGUAAAGCGCACGUAGGCGGAUCGUUAAGUCGGGGGUGAAAUCCUGGAGCUCAACUCCAGAACUGCCUUCGAUACUGGCGAUCUUGAGUCCGGAAGAGGUGAGUGGAACUCCUAGUGUAGAGGUGGAACUCGUAGAUAUUAGGAAGAACACCAGUGGCGAAGGCGGCUCACUGGUCCGGUACUGACGCUGAGGUGCGAAAGCGUUGGGAGCAAACAGG